UCCGACAGGAAGACAUUAGCAGAAGUCUCCAGAAGUUCUGACAAGACAGUAUAAAAGUCGGUGUGUCAGUGGGCAGCAGAGGGGUUAGAAGCUGACAGGAGCUGACAGUGAAGAAGCAGCCAGCAGCAGUAGGAGCCCUGCCCUGCCACUGGAACACAGAGACACAGACUGGGACAUGGAAGGAGAAGACAUCAAAGUCAGCAGAGAUACUAAUGAACAAGUACACUGUUGAGGGAACCAGUGCAAAUGGAGCUGUGUAAGAAAAUGCAAAGAAGAAAAAGUCUUUAUGCCUCAGUUUCCUGCUUGGAUUUGUAAUGAUCACCACCUUUAAAUCUUUACUGUGGUGUUCGUACACCCCAGCAGCAACAUUAGCUAAUGGUUUGCCUCACUUUUGAAGAAAUGGCACAGCACUCAGAAGGGUAGCUUCCUGAAAUCUUUGCUAGGAGAAACUCGGAGAGCCUAAGCCCAUCCACUGUACAGUGAAGUUGAGCUGGAAUAAACAGAACCUUACUGAGAGGAGACCCACCUGUACCCAGGAAAACAGGAGCAAGCUGAGAGUUUAUUUUAGAUUCCAGAGCAGUGUCUGCCUUUCUGGAGCAAAUGUCUUUCACCUUCUUGGUUAAGAAACAAAAAUGGCAUCAAGAUGUGGUAGCAAAGGUCACCUUUCUGAGUGUGGCUUUGAGUCAAGCAGGAAUCAAAUUGGAAAAGCAGAGAUGGUUGCUCUGAAAAGCGAGAAGAAUCCCAGUUGGAGACUGGUCAUCAUCCUGUCUCUCAGACUGAGCCAAGAGAACAAGCUACAUUCUGUGGUGCCACAGUAACAGGAUACCAACUUCUGAAGUACAGUCCAGCUGAAUAAAUACUGCUGAAAGUCAAUAACUAAAACUUCUCUACAAUAACCAUUUCUCUAGAAAUCUGACUGAAAUUUGAAUAUUUGCACUGACUUUUAAAGUUAUUAAAUGGGAAUAAAUACUUAAGAGAUGGUAUAGUAAUCUCGCCUUUUGUACAUCAACUACUGUUAUGGUAUUACCUUGGGCAGAAGACAAGGCACUAUAGUAAUACAAAUAAUAAAACCAAACCUGGUGCAUCACAAACCGCCUCAAAGAAACAGAAACAGAUUAACUUGGCCGGAAAAUUAUUAGAGAACACUUCAUUGUAGGUUUACAUUCUGAUCUGUAUUUGGACUAAAAAUCUGUUCAUGUUUCUAACUCCCUCUCAAUGUAGUUUUGAACCACUUUUUCAUAUGAGAAUCCACUCUUCAUGGAUCAGGAAUGAUGGUUGCUUACACUGUUCAGGUUGUGCAAACAAAGCUUUAUCAUUCUGAGUCUCAAAAGCAACAGCAAUCUUUUUACUGAAUCCUUUCCUUUCCAAUUGCAUAUGUAGGCUGUGAUCAUCAGAUCCUUUUAACUCUAGCCAGGAAAGAUUAAUAGCUAUCCCUACAGCUACUAUAUUGUGAAAUUUCUAGCUUGGAGCCUUUCCCCCCACCCCUCCUCCAGAAAAGAGAGAGAGCAAGAGAGACAUGCUGAAAUUUAACCCAGCAUGAUUUUUUUUCAACUGUUAACUCUUGUAAGCUCUUAAGGCUACAGUAAUACAUGAAAAGCAAAAUGAUGUCAUGUAUUAAAAGGGAAAAAUAUGGUGUUUCUGAACGAUAUUAGAAGCAACUCUGUCAUGCACUUCACAAGCUUGUGCCUCACUAACUCACAAUUUUAAGAGUUCACACCGAAGUAAAACAACAAAAAGAAAAGAUUAGAAAUAAAGUGUUAUUCUGCUGCAUUAUUAUCACAGAUACGGGGUGAACAGCUGAGGUAAAAAUGUAUGAACAUAAUUUUAUUUAUUAAGUAAUUACAAUUGCUAUAGUUUCUUGAAUGUUUAUCCAUGGGCCACAGAUGCCCUUGAAAUAACAAAGAUACACCUAAGUGUAGCAGUACAACUUCAGAUACCCCAGCUUUGGUUUUUGAAUGGCUCUAAGGUGUGGUCCAAACAGAGCACAGCACAGCAACCUAAGCUUGAGGUGACAAUUGGUGACAUUUACGAGGUCCAUAUCUGAAAGGAAUGCUCACAACCUCCUGGCUGUAUGUAAAGGAUAAAAAGCUCACCUGGUUUUCUUUCCAUUCAGGUAGUUUUACAUUUGGAACUUAUUGUACAUAAACAAGAUGAUCUGUGGUGAUUGUGGUUAUCAGCAUUACUUGAAUAUUGUUUUUGUUCGGCACAUAAAUAGUGUAUUUGAGAGUAAGGAGAAUGUUAAACAAAGACUUACCCCCUCCACCUCCAAGAAGACUGGAAUUAGCUAGGAAAAGCAAAAGGACAAUAAUUAGCAUUAAAUUAAAUAUGAAAUGAAA